UUGUAAGCGGCAGAUGGGAGCUUGCUCCCUGAUGUUAGCGGCGGACGGGUGAGUAACACGUGGGUAACCUGCCUGUAAGACUGGGAUAACUCCGGGAAACCGGGGCUAAUACCGGAUGGUUGUUUGAACCGCAUGGUUCAGACAUAAAAGGUGGCUUCGGCUACCACUUACAGAUGGACCCGCGGCGCAUUAGCUAGUUGGUGAGGUAACGGCUCACCAAGGCGACGAUGCGUAGCCGACCUGAGAGGGUGAUCGGCCACACUGGGACUGAGACACGGCCCAGACUCCUACGGGAGGCAGCAGUAGGGAAUCUUCCGCAAUGGACGAAAGUCUGACGGAGCAACGCCGCGUGAGUGAUGAAGGUUUUCGGAUCGUAAAGCUCUGUUGUUAAGGAAGAACAAGUGCCGUUCAAUAGGGCGGCACCUUUGACNGUACCUAACCAAAAGCCACGGUUACUUCCUGCCACAACCGCGGUAAUACGUAGGGGGCAACGUUGUCCGAAUUUUGGGCGUAAAGGCUCCAGCGGUUCUAAUCUGAUUGAAGCCCCGUCACCGGGAGGG
rnacentral:rRNA from 1 species